UAUUUGCCAUUUGUCAACAAUAACCAAAAUACUGUCACACAAAACCCUUUGCUUUGAUAACUGAACAGCGGAACCUAAUAAUAUAUCUCUGUAUGUUCAUCAGGAUGCUACCUUAAAAAAUCUCUAAACGUUCGAAGUGAGUCCAAAACGAAACAUUAAUUCUAAUAUCAUUAGUAAUCGUUUUGUGGAAAGAAUUAGUAUUACUUGUCCUAA